rnacentral:lncRNA from 1 species
GGUGACCAGACCGUUCCCUCUGCUGAGGGCUGCUGAGGGCUGAAGCAGGGAUGACUCAUGGAGAGGCCCCAGCAGACAGCCGAGGAAGCCUCUGACCCUGCGGUGCUGUGGGCUGGGCCAUCACGGGACACUGGGGAGCCACAGAUGUGCUCAGAGGUAGGGAUAUGCGGUGAGUCACUCCACCCCUGUCAGGCACUGGCAGGGAGCUGAGGAGUCAGAAGCAGAGAGAGCCAGCGCCGAGCUCGCCCGGUGCCUGUGAGCAGCCAGCCUCUAAAUGGCUUCCAGCUUGACAGUCCUCACACUGUGGCAAUGUAGCUUCUGGAAGCCUAUGGGGCCCAGGGACAUUCCUCUGACUGACUCCAGUGGAUGAGGUGUGCUCAGGGUGUGGUGGGUGAGCAAGUGGCCUUCCCGGGUCAGCUAGAGGGACUCCCUUGUCAUCGUCCAGUGGUGGAAAUUGAUGAAUUGGCACCUAACAUGAAUGCGAUAUCCUCCUGGGAGGCUGAGAAUCUCUAAUCUUGUCCCACUCGAUGUCAGCAACUCCGCAGGCCUGGAAGCCUCCCUCUGAAUGCUU